GAUGAAGAACGUAGCGAAUUGCGAUAAGUAAUGUGAAUUGCAGAUUUUCAGUGAAUCAUCGAAUCUUUGAACGCACAUUGCGCCCCUUGGUAUCCCGAGGGGCAUGCCUGUUCGAGCGUCAUUUCACCACUCAAGCCUGGCUUGGUGUUGGGCGACGUCCCCUUUGGGGACGCGCCUCGAAACGCUCGGCGGCGUGGCACCGGCUUUAAGCGUAGCAGAAUCUUUCGCUUUGGAAGUCGGGGCCCCGUCUGCCGGAAGACCUACUCGCAAGGUUGACCUCGGAUCAGGCAGGGAUACCCGCUGAACUUAAGCAUAUCAAUAAGCGGAGGA
rnacentral:misc_RNA from 1 species